UAACCGAUGUGGUUUAUGUGCUGCAUCUACUAGUAAUACAAAUUGUUUGCAUAGUUAAUUAUAGUUGUAUUGGAUUAUAGUUGUAUUGUGGCACUAGGAAAUAAUUAUAGUGUAUUGGAUUAUAAUUCCUGAGAAAAUUGUAUCAUAUACUACCAUAGCCAAAUAGGUCUAACUUCCUUCCAUAAUUCAUUCUGCCCGGCUUUCAUUUAGGACUGGUUUGGUGACAAUGGAAUUAGAGGCGAUCCAUAGAGAAGGAAACCUUUUGCUAUUGCGCUGAUUUGGUGACAAGUGAAUUGGAGGGAAUCCAUGCAUGGAUCUGCUCCAAAUCCCUUGUCACCAAACCAACACUUAAAAUGAUACCAAGGGACCCAUUUGUUUCUUUUAGAUGUGAUUAAAUUACCUGAUAUGAUCGAGAUAAACAAUGCAAUGAGUAUAAAUAUCAAAUAAAGAAAAAUGUAAUGAUAUUGGGGAAAUUUAGACAUCUAUACUACUUUCUUUACCUAGACAGAAGACCAUCCAAAUAGAGAAAACAUUUGAGCUAUAGUUGAAUUCUAAAGAUAAAAAAAAUCAUUCAAAGGCCUUGUUUCAAAAAUAUAGUUUCUUAACUUGCUUUAUUAAUUUAUUCAUGUGAGCACAAAAAAAACAAAUUCUUUAAAUUUGGUAUUUCUAUAGUUACUCUCUUAUAUCAAGUUCUUCUAACUCAUAGUUAGCUUUGCUAAGAAUGCUCUCUACAUAAUAAGUGGCAUCACUAAUAUUACAAUCUAUUGUUAUGUCCUAUGUUACGUUCAGACUAUUUAUCUUCAUUCUAUUACACAGAGAGCCAAACAAACCACUCCUUCCAGAGACGAGAGGUUCUUUGGUUCUUUCUUUUUGUCCUUCCGCUUGAAAGAAAGAAGGGCCCUCUUAAAUUGGUCUUGCUAAAAUGUAAUGGAGCCUGAUUUACCUACCUUUUUAGUUCGACAUUUGCCUAUCUAUUUAAAAUACGUCAAUUACAUAAUCCUAACUAUGAAAGCAAUACUAAAAAAUAAAUCCUAGAACAAAUAUUUAUAUAUUUACUUCUAGCCAUGUGAUAAUAUUAUUAUAUAGUCCACUUCGUCUCCCCAUAUGACAUACAAAUAUAUUGGCGUGUUAACAAAGUCAUAAGUGUAACACAAGGCUCAUGACUACUACCACAUAUGUCAUAAUAGUGUAUUGUUUGAUGUAUCAACUCCUUUCGCUUGAUCAUUAUCUGAUUUAUGUGAUGUUUCAUCCUAUUAAAUCAAUCUUAGAUUCUUAGUAAUCACGUUUAAACAUUUCCAUAUCUUUAUUCAAUCACAAAAUUUACCUUCUCUAUUUAAGCAAAAAAUUUACAUGUGUCAAUAGGAUAUAAAAAUGAUGUUGCUAAACCUCAUAAAUACAAAUGUUAGCCAUGACAUGUUUGAGGGGAAGACUUGCAUGUAAUCAUUACUUGUUGUAGUGUCUUGGUUUGGAAUCUAAAAACACCAAAAGUUAACCCAACAAUAACAAAACAUUAAUUAAGUAGCAAAUACUAGAGAAACAUUGUCAUUAAGAAUGCCUAAUAUCUAUAUAAUCAGAAUGUCAAUUACAUUGUAUUUUUCUACUAGUGAAGUGUUUAGAAAUAUGACAACAUCGAUAUAUUUCUUAGAUUCAAUAAUGCGUGCAUUUGGUAGAGCUAGAUACUUUCAUUGGUUCAAUUACUUGAUCCCACAAUGCUACUCAGAGAUAGUUCCUUGCAAUGAAUAUGGUGCCAACUCAGAGUUAAAUAGUUACUAGCAUCUUAACACAUCAAUUGUUAGGUUUAUAUAUUACAUUGUAUUUUUCUACUAGUGAAGUGUUUAGAAAUAUGACAACAUCGAUAUAUUUCUUAGAUUCAAUAAUGCGUGCAUUUGGCAGAGCUGAUACUUUCAUUGGUUCAAUUACUUGAUCCCACAAUGCUACUCAGAGAUAGUUCCUUGCAAUGAAUAUGGUGCCAACUCAGAGUUAAAUAGUUACUAGCAUCUUAACACAUCAAUUGUUAGGUUUAUAUAUUAUUCUUUGAAGAUGAAUUGAUAAAAAAUACAACUUUUUAGAAAUCAAGUAAUAACUUUGGAUAAGCCAUUGCAUUAUGUAACAAAAAAAACUAGGAAUGCAAUUAUGCGAGAGUAAGUAGAUGCUUUCCCACAUUGGAAAUUGUUAUCAUGAUCAUAUUCCUUUAUGUUUUAUUGGUAAUUUAUUCAUAGUUACAACAUAAUUUCACAUCUUGAGGACUAAUCAACUAUUUUAGGUGUAAGUGUUCCCUAAGAGAUUCAAAUCAGGAGCUAACUCUAGCCAAAUUACCAUUCGUAAUGUUUUUUUGUUAUGGAUGAAUUACUUGUCUACAAUGUACUUUUCAUGCUCUUGGUCUUCAAGGCAAAAGUUGUAUAUUUUCACAUAUUUUUGUCUUUGGUCGAUCAUAGUGAUGGUAAUCAGUUAUAAACAUAAUUUUAAAUAUAUUGUUG
rnacentral:lncRNA from 7 species